rnacentral:rRNA from 1 species
AUGGAGAAGAAAGAUGUUAAACCUAGACUUAUUAGAUGGGUUCUCUUGCUACAAGAAUUUGAUUCGCAUAUUAUUGAUAGAAAGGGAGUUGAGAACCCCGUUGCAGACAACUUGUCUAGGUUAGAGAAUGUUCUUCAUGACCCACUGCCUAUUGAUGAUAGCUUCCCUGAUGAACAAUUAUCUAUCAUAAAUGCUUCUCGUACUGCUCCUUGGUAUGCUGAUUAUGCUAAUUACAUUGUUGCUAAAUUUAUACCACCUAGUUUCAUGUACCAGCAAAAGAAAAAGUUUUUCUAUGAUUUAAGACAUUACUUCUGGGAUGACCCACACCUUUAUAAAGAAGGAGUAGAUGGUGUUAUUAGACAUUGUGUACCUGAGCAUGAAUAG